CACAGAUUAUCAUCUUCCUCUUCCACUCACCCAGCAAAAGCAAAGGAAAAAUUUCGAAAAAUUACAGAGAGAGAGAGAAUAUUUAGCUAUGCUGAUUAUCCCCACUUCAAAGAUCGUGGCAAAGAGGGAAAAACAAGAGAGGAUUUUCUUAGGAGAUCCUCUCUCCAUCAGUUACAAUAAUGUGAUGUAGAGUUUUGCUUUAAAGGCUUGUAGGCUCCAAUACCUAAACUCUGUCAAUUAUUAGCAACAGCUUUAUUUCUGUAACAAGGUUGGCAGAGAAAUCUUCCCUUCUGAGCCAGAUUUCUGAAAUAUUUGCUCAAUUUGUUUUUUGUUCUUCAGUGAUGCAAAGCUGUCACUGACUUCCACAAUGAUGAGUAAAUUCUUAGUAAAACCUGAUCUUCAGUGGAUGUAUGACCCUAAUGCUGAGUUGAUUGAACUCUAUUAUUCAGUCCUGAACCAGUCAGGUAAAAGAGAGCAGCAGCAGUUUUGCCUUCCUGACUUCAGUUCAUCUUGGAAAAUUUACCUGAAUUGGUGCCUCUGGCAGAUCAGGCUGGACUACUGCAAGGUUAAGCAGGUUUAAUUAAAAUGUCACUGCCCGAAGUCAGUCUGCCAGCUAGAGACCAACGAAAGCCUUGACCACUUUCUCCUCAACAAGCCCUAACCUGACAUCUGUGAGCAAGAACAAUGCGCCCAGGGUGGCCACCUCCUCUUCCUAUGCCUGGGCAGCCACGGCGAAGGCAGCUAUGACAGUUAAGCAACAGCACAAAGGAGCCACCGUGAAGUCACCUGGCCCAUGGGUUUGUGUCACUGCCAGGCUCUCCCAGCAAUAUUUCAGACUGCAACUGGUGGCCACAUCUUUAGCAUAUGCUAAUCAGCACAAACACAUUCAAUUCUAAUAAUUGGAAACUUGCUCUUGCAUUGUGGUGUAGUGGACGGCAAGCAGAAUUAGUAAGUUCAGGAAGAAAUCUCGCUGGAAUUAAAAGCUUUCUUCUGUGCUUUCUCUGCGUGUAAUGCAGAUUGCUAAAAGCUCUUAGAGGUCACAGUGAUUUUGGGGAGGGCUGCAAUACACAGGGUUCUUCAGGUCCCUGCCCAAAAUGUAGUCUUUUUUCCUAUGUGUUUGUAUGUAGUAUAAUUGAAUAAGUUGGUGCCCCCUGUAGCCUCUCAGCACACAGCAGGCCCUGACAGUGCUCUGUGAGGUCCUGGCCUGAGAUAGCCAUUAGGCUCUGCACCAUCUGUUUCUUCCCACUGGUUUAUCAGAGACAACCUGGUUUCCAGUGACUCCAGAGAAUUGCCAAACCUUUUUAGUGAGCCCACACUGAAAAUCAGCUUAAGAGGAAGGAGAACUUUGUCAUGUAAAUGGUUUGUCUGAUUUUCUGAAAGCUCUUUCUAUUUUGAGUUUUCUCAGGAGGGAUUUUUUUUUUUUUAAAACUGGUAAGCCAGUGGAAUUUUUGCCUCAAUGGGAUCACUACGGCUUGGGCCAGAGUGCUGCAUUUGUGGAUCACAACACAGCCUCUGAGGUCCACGGGAACCUCAGUGGAAAAGAAUCUGGACUUGACAUUACCCACUGACACUAAAUAUAACCUUCUGGUAAACAUUAAAACUUCAAGGGCUUUGUGGCUGAUGAUCAUGUUAAACUCCAGGACAUCCAGUGAGAGGGUGGGGUGGAAAAUAUAAACAUGAAAAGAAACCUAGGGGGAGGGGAAGGGUUUGUACGCUGGGGGGAGGGCUCCAGAGACUUUGUUGACAGUACUUUCUGCCUUGCUCAAGGUUGUCUUCAGUUAGUAAAGAAGAAGCAUUCCGAAGGUUGAGCUAGUUUCACUUGCUAGUGUACAGGACGCUACAGUUUGUUCUAGCACAUUCAGAUCUAACAGGGAACUUCAAUCUAAAACCCUGUACUCCAAGCGAUGGGCUAAGGACAAAAGGCAGAUAAUGCCUCCUUGGCUGUUCCACCUCGUUUCUUCAGCUUGAAAUAGGAUAACAAGCAUCCUGUAGACUACUGUGUAUGUUUGGCACAUUUGAGCAUUAAAAUCUGGCUAAAACAAUCAGAUUUUACGUGGACCAUCAAACAGCCAGAAAACACUGCCAGCUUGCAGUCCCUACCAAUGUGGACUGGCUUUAACUGAGUAACACUUGAAAGGUUAGGGAUCUCUUUGCCACACUACAACCUCAAAAAUAAAGUCUGCCCUUGCUCUGAACACAAAGAGCAAAAUCUUUAAUUUGUGAGCACAGUAGCAGACAACGACAAGCGAGCUUCUAAAGCAAGUCAUAAACUGCACCAUCUAAAUACCUCCAGCACUAUCAUCAGUAUCUUGUAGCCUGCAGUACUGUUCUUCAGUUUGCCCCUAACUACUGGCUGGGGUAGGCAUACAGCACAUGGAAAAAGUUUUAAUCCAUAGCAGAAGUUUUUGAGUGGUUCUUAGUAACUGGGUUAGGGAGUCACUCCAGCAGCUUACCUGAAAGGUUUAAAGUACCAUUUGUGUGCUGCUGGUGGGGUCGGCAGCCAUUAUCCGACACCCCUGGCAGGCUGAUGCGUAUGCGUUACCCAAGUAAGUUUAUGGACACUGGAAAGCAGAGGAGACCGAAGACCCUUGUUCUAAUCCUGUAAAAGCCACUAUGUGUUUUGUAGUUAAAACAAACAAAACCGUCUGGAAGUCACUGCAUGUUCUGUUAGCUUUUCCAAGUGUCAUAUUAACUUUUUUCCAAGCCUGUCACAACUUCUUUAAAAAACAAUAACAACAAAAAAGCACAAACACCCUAGAAAGCAUUCUGCAACAUGAGUAAGAAGCAUUUAAGCCUGUUUAAAACAGAAUCCAAACAGAGAAAGACCUGUUGCCAGCGAGGAGGAAAACUUGGCAGCUUUGUUUAAAGCUUCCCACACAGACACUGGAGACACGAGAAAACAAAGAAGCUCUAGUCCCCGAGGGUCCUGCCACUCCCAGGGCAAAACCAGUCCCUUCCCCGCUUUUUCUCUAGCUCUCACACACAUGGUUCUCUUCCUCUGCGCCGUUAGCUACAGCAAGAAUGAAUUAAGCCCUGCCGAUCUGGAAAAAAUACAGGAAGUGAAGAGUUAAAAAAAACAGACAACAAAAAACUGAGAGAACCUGGAGGCAAGCCAGUGUCCUCGAAUGACUCGGCUCAGCGGCAGCCUGGCGCACGACUCCCCCCGCUCCUCUCCCUGCAGGGCGGACGUGGCCCAGCCUCCUCUUCAUCGGGGAGAGGAGUUCCCUGCCGUGGCUUCCAGUUGGUUUGAGAGCCCAGAAACACGGCUAAGUUUAUCUUUUGCUUCUAGGACAAUGGCAAAGGCCAGAAAUAAGUGCAAAAGAACUGAAAGUCAAUGGAGAAAAUUCCCUGAGAGCAAGCACCUUUUCUCAUGAACUCCGAACAGGCAAGGCACAGCCGCAGAGCGCAAAGCAGGGCAGGCUGCCUAGGGUGCCAGGAACAUGCUGUUCCUUCGGCCGCGCCGCAUGGGGAAUUGUCCAUCUAUAUGCUUAAACUUGAUGGGGCUUUCUUCUCUGCCACAGAAAGCAAACAUCCUCAGCUUAGAACAGCUCUUCCUUCAUCUUAGGUAGGCAGCAGGAAAAGCUAGGUACGCUUGAAGAGGUUUGUUUGGUGUGGGUGAGGCUGCCACUUCUGAGCUACGAUGGUUCAGGAGUCAUUUGUAAGGUGUAGUUCUGAGGAUCUUUUCCUUAACGUCCUUUAUACAGAAACUGAUCACGGAUUUUAGUCGACUAAUUUGUUGUCUGAAGUAACUCAGUUGGACAGCUCACCUAAGUUUGUUCUCAUCUGUGUGGUGCUUUGUCAUAGAUACUAUGACCAGUGUCUCCAGCCGAGAUCAGUCUCCUCGGUUUUUGGAGCUCCCUGCGCAGCUGUAGGCCGUCCUGUUCCACGACAGAAGGCAGAGGCACCAAGUAUGGCACGUCACGGGGCCUUUUUCAAUCUAGUACUCCUAACUCUUUCAGUAACUUCUAUGGUGCUCGCAAGACUUCAACUUUUUUUAGCGCUCAGGCAAGCAGACCUUCCCCUCUCCUUAUCUCCGAAGCUCUCCCGGUAGAAGCCAAGUCUGGUCUAGCAGCCAUCGACACCCCGCUCCGCCACGAGGCCGCCCGUCCCGUCGCGUCGCGUCGCGUCCCGUCCCGAGGUCCCGGGCAGCGGAGCGGGCGGCUGCCGGCGCCGUCUCGUCGCGGGCGCGAGAGGCGAGCGGAGCGCGGCGCUGCCCGCCCGGCCGCGCGUGGCGCGCUGACAGCCGCCGGGGGCGGGGCCGCCGCACGCAUCUGGUCGUGACGUCACCGCCAGCACCCCCCCCCCCCCCCCCCUCCCGCGAGUGAAAGGAAGCGCCCGAUUGGCUGCCGGCCGCGCCGCGGGAGCGCGCCCCGGGGCCGCGCCGCGCGGGAGCCUCGCCCGCGGGGGUGGUGCCGCAGCGGCACGGGGCUGGGGAAGUGCGGAGGGCCAUAAACGGGGCGAGGCUGCGGCUGGAAUAAGUGAUGGGGAAAAAGAGGGAGAGUGCGCCAGGUGGUCUGCGAAGGUUUUAAUAAAUUGUGACAGGUUUAGCUGCGUCCCUACAGAUAAUAAGCUGUUGAAGUCACUCUGUCAAAGCACUCCGCUGCCCCUCAAGUGUUUAAAAGUACAAAUGGAAAUCACUUUUUAUUAUUAUUCUCAUUUAUCAAGAGAUAACAGCUCAGCCAGUUUGUAGAGGUUAACGCCCGAAUGAAUAAAUGGGUUGUGCGUGACCAGGUUACCAAAACUGAAAGAAAUGCAUCUGAAUUCAGGUCUGAACACAGUUACUCUGUGGUGCUUCUUGGUUGGAUCACGUUCUCUCCCUAGACUAAUUCUUGUGAAAUUCGUGUCCUUAGUGCAGAUGGACCCUUCCUCUGAGGCAGAGCCAGUCAGAAACCAGGAGGGCUUUUUGGAAGCCUUCCUGGAUGGAAAGUUUUGGAGUUUGAGGGGGCGUGGAAGGAAGCGAACAUCUGUUGCAGAAACUCACAUAGUUGUGGUGUUGAGUAAAAAGUUGGUUUUGUGCAUGUGAAAAUGCCUUAUUCAGGAGCAACGUGUGCCAGUGCUACCACUGCGCUUUCUAGGCGCUGUGCUUUGGGUUCUCAUGCACUGCUUCCCCUCUAGGUCAGACCUGUUGGCAACCUGCAUCUAUUGAAACCCUCCGUGUCUGUCUUGUUACCCUGCGGUGCUCUGCGGGACUCGAGUCCCUGAAGCCGAGGGAGGCGCAGGGUACGCCAGCAGCACAGGAAGAUGUGGUUUCACGCCGCAAUGCGCUGCAGCAUUUGAUGCAGACGUGUCGUACCAUUUGUUCUGCUGAGCACGGCUACAGGAAAUGCUCACACAUUUCCAAAUAAAGGUCGAGUUUCGGACUCCCCCGUUUAUUCCUAAAGGAAAUAAACCCAGGGAAAACCUUUUCAUGAGGAGACGUUGGCUGAGGGUGGCUGCAGCAGACCCACCCGGCAGCUCCUCACGAGGAGCCUGGCAGCAGUCACCCCUCCGCUCUCCCACCUCGAGGAGAAAUGGGGCAAGGAGAGGGCAGGGCUCGGGCCCGGGUUCUCCAGGAGAAGUUGGGCAGGAGAAGGGAGCUGGGGACGGCCCUAGCCCCGCAGCGUUGUCCUGCCACCAUUUCGUGCCGGCCUCCUGCCCUGAGGAGAAACCCCUGGAGGUGAGCCGGGAGGUGUGAUUGGCUGCUCUGCCUCUUUCUGGAGCCCGCCCAAGCAUGGCAGCCAAUCAGAGAAGACCUUACAUGCUGCGUGUGACUCUCCACAGUGGAGGUGGCCCUGGGCGCCAUGUUGUGUUUGGAGCCCCUCGAGGGCCGGGGGCUUCCCUUGAGGGCUGCGCAGUGCUCCUGCGGGGCAGAAGAGGGAGAAGAUGCCGAGUCACAGCACAGCUGGGCCUGUGGGCAGCAGCAGGACGGUGAGGAGGUGGUGGCUGGCUGCAGCUGGAGGUAAGGAGGGGUCUGAACCUUGUCUUUUAUUGACAGGUCUUUAGCCUAAAGCCUUGUCCUGGUAGUUGCUCCUGUUAUGUAGCGCCUCUCCUGUGCCAUUCAUAGUCACAACCGAGUCCCCAGCGGGCUGUGUGAACUCUCCAGUGCUUCUGCAGUUCUGUGGUUGGGACGGGGGCCGUGUUCGUGAGAAGCUGCUGCUGUUUUUGGUUGGGUGAGCCUGCGGGGCGUGCCUUCCUCCUUUGGGAAGGAGCAGUGUGGUGGUGGUUGCUCACACCAAAACAGCUUUUUGAUGUGAAAGAGAAGUUAGUCAUAUUCAGAAGAUGUGUGUAGCCAGGUUAGGGGGUGUUGUUACUGCCUUGUUAAAAAGCAGAACUAAGAAUAAAAAUGUGUCUCUGCCUUGGUAAUAGCUGACCAAAAGACAAAAACGGUCCCUCCUGGAGCACUUAACCUGGAGAAGUUGCUAUCUCAUUGCACGUACAGGAGCAGGGUGUGGUGUGUUUGUCAUCUGGAUGUGAAAAUGCCAGCUGCCCAAUGGACUCGUCGAUGGGUUUUAGUGCAGGGUUGCAAAUCUGAAAUGCUUCUGUGUGAAAUGAUAGCCUCCCUGCAAACGGCAGUGGUGACGCUCCUUUAACACGUAUCAGUUGUGAGGUCAGUGGUGUGAAAAGAUCUUAGGUUAUCAUUACAAGAAAAAGUUUACAACUAGGUGAAUUUCUGUAUUACCUGACUUUGAGCCUGUUAUUAUUAUUUGUUGUGCAUUUAAUUUCUCAGAAGAAGGGGAAAAGUGAAUUUCUCGAAGUAUACGAUAAAUGCUAAAUAUACCUCUGCUGAAUAUCCUGCAGCUGUUGACUUAUCAACCAAAUGAGCUGAAUUUUAGAUCAGGGAAAAAAUAAUAAAAAAUAUACUCUAAUCCCUC